GAUGAACGCUGGCGGCGUGCCUAAUACAUGCAAGUCGAGCGAACGGACGAGAAUCUUGCUUCUCUCAUGUUUGCGGCGGGCGGGUGAGUAACACGUGGAACACCUACCUAUAAGUCUGGGAAAACCUCGGGAAACCGGAGCUAAUCCCGGAGAAUCUCUUGAACCGCGUGGGUGAAAGGUGAAAUACGGUCUUUCGGUCAGUUAUAGCUGGUUCCGCGCUGCAUUAGCUAGUUGGUAAGGUAACGGCUUACCAAGGCAACGAUGCAUAGCCGACCUGAGGGGGUGAUCGGCCACACUGGAACUGAGACACGGUCCAGACUCCUACGGGAGGCAGCAGUAGGGAAUCUUCCGCAAUGGGCGAAAGCCUGACGGAGCAACGCCGCGUGAGUGAUGAAGGUCUUCGGAUCGUAAAACUCUGUUAUUAGGGAAGAACAGAUGUGUAAGUAACUGUGCACAUCUUGACGGUACCUAAUCAGAAAGCCACGGCUAACUACGUG
rnacentral:rRNA from 1 species